ACGAACGCUGGCGGCGUGCCUAAUACAUGCAAGUCGAGCGAGCAAUUUUAGCAGAAUACCUUCGGGUAGGAAGUUAAGAGCGCGAGCGGCGGAUGGGUGAGUAACACGUGGGUAACCUGCCCUCUAGAUUGGGAUACCAUUUGGAAACAGAUGCUAAUACCGAAUAAGAAGUAAGAUCGCAUGAUCUCGCUAUAAAAGGCGGCGUAAGCUGUCACUAGAGGAUGGACCCGCGGUGCAUUAGCUAGUUGGUAAGGUAACGGCUUACCAAGGCAAUGAUGCAUAGCCGAGUUGAGAGACUGAACGGCCACAUUGGGACUGAGACACGGCCCAAACUCCUACGGGAGGCAGCAGUAGGGAAUCUUCCACAAUGGACGCAAGUCUGAUGGAGCAACGCCGCGUGAGUGAAGAAGGUUUUCGGAUCGUAAAGCUCUGUUGUUGGUGAAGAAGGAUAGUUAGAGUAACUGCUAAUUAUUUGACGGUAAUCAACCAGAAAGUCACGGCUAACUACGUGC
rnacentral:rRNA from 1 species